rnacentral:rRNA from 1 species
AUUGAACGCUGGCGGCAGGCUUAACACAUGCAAGUCGAACGAGUGGCGGACGGGUGAGUAAUGUAUGGGAAACUGCCCGAUGGAGGGGGAUAACUACUGGAAACGGUAGCUAAUACCGCAUACCAUCGGAUGUGCCCAGAUGGGAUUAGCUAGUUGGUGGGGUAAAGGCUCACCUAGGCGACGAUCCGUAGCUGGUCUGAGAGGACGACCAGCCAGACUGGAACUGGGACACGGCCCAGACUCCAACGGGAGGCAGCAGUGGGGAAUAGUGGACAAUGGACGAAAGGCUGAUGGAGCAAGGCCGGGUGUAUGAAGAAGGCUUUCGGGUUGUAAAGUUCUUUCAGCGGGGAGGCGGUACCCGCAGAGGAAGCCCCGGCUAACUCCGUGCCAGCAGCCGCGGUAAUUC